AGCAUUCUUGUUUCAAGUGUACUUCCCCAGAGUUUGGGCCUUCUACAGGGACACAUACUCAAAUCUGAUUGAUCCAUAGAUCUGGUGGAAGAGGCACCAGAGGGCAGAUUGAGGGGAUGUUUAAUUAAUGCAAAACUGUGAGCUCCAUGAAGAAACCAAAAGAGACCAAAACUACUUCAACAAGCAAACAUUAGUUCUGUUUGACAAGCAGAAAGACAUGGUGGCCAAAAAUCUUCAAACCUUCAGGAAAGAGAUGGACAGGUCUGUCUAUAAAGUUACAAGUUACACUGGAAGUGGGUGGACAUAUCAAAUAGAAGAACAGAAUGCCCAAAGCAGGACUACGGCUUGUCCCUUAGUAUAGCUGCCUGUCAGGAUCCUGCCCCCGAGAAGACAUUCUCUUUUCAGCGCCCGCCUCCAUUUCCCUAAUAGGACUUUGCCAUGAAAUCAGUCUCUUAGCAAAGCUGCCUUCUUAUCCAACAAUAAACUUCUAUUUUUGCCACCUAAAACUCUUCAGAUUCGUGAAUUCUUUCAUGACUUACCUGCACCUCCUACCAAAAGGGGAU